GUGGCGAACGGGUGAGUAACACGUGGGCAAUCUGCCCUUCACUCUGGGACAAGCCCUGGAAACGGGGUCUAAUACCGGAUACGAGUCUGGGAGGCAUCUCCCGGGCUGGAAAGCUCCGGCGGUGAAGGAUGAGCCCGCGGCCUAUCAGCUUGUUGGUGGGGUAAUGGCCUACCAAGGCGACGACGGGUAGCCGGCCUGAGAGGGCGACCGGCCACACUGGGACUGAGACACGGCCCAGACUCCUACGGGAGGCAGCAGUGGGGAAUAUUGCACAAUGGGCGAAAGCCUGAUGCAGCGACGCCGCGUGAGGGAUGACGGCCUUCGGGUUGUAAACCUCUUUCAGCAGGGAAGAAGCGAAAGUGACGGUACCUGCAGAAGAAGCGCCGGCUAACUACGUGCCAGCAGCCGCGGUAAUACGUAGGGCGCAAGCGUUGUCCGGAAUUAUUGGGCGUAAAGAGCUCGUAGGCGGCUUGUCACGUCGGGUGUGAAAGCCCGGGGCUUAACCCCGGGUCUGCAUCCGAUACGGGCAGGCUAGAGUGUGGUAGGGGAGAUCGGAAUUCCUGGUGUAGCGGUGAAAUGCGCAGAUAUCAGGAGGAACACCGGUGGCGAAGGCGGAUCUCUGGGCCAUUACUGACGCUGAGGAGCGAAAGCGUGGGGAGCGAACAGGAUUAGAUACCCUGGUAGUCCACGCCGUAAACGUUGGGAACUAGGUGUUGGCGA
rnacentral:rRNA from 1 species